GACGAACGCUGGCGGCGUGCUUAACACAUGCAAGUCGGACGGAAAGGCCCUGCUUUUUUGGUCUGCUCGAGUGGCGAACGGGUGAGUAACACGUGAGUAACCUUCCCUUCUCUUUGGGAUAACUUCAGGAAACUGGGCCUACUACCGUAUAUGAUCUCCUCCUCCAUGGUGUGCGUUGGAACUUUUCGGCUGUUGGGGUUGGACUCGCGGCUUAUCAGCUUGUUGGUUGGGUAGUGGCUUACCCAGGCUUUGACGGGUCGCCGGCCUGGGAGGGUGACCGGGGACAAUGGGACUGAGAUACGGCCCAGACUCGUACGGGAGGCAGCAGGGGGGAAUAUGGCACAAUGGGCGGAAGCCGGAUGCAGCAACGCCGCGGGCGGGAUGACGGCCUUCGGGGUGUAAACAGCUGUAGCCUGUGACGAAGCGGGAGUGACGGUAAUGGGUAAAGAAGCACCGGCUAACUACGUG
rnacentral:rRNA from 1 species